rnacentral:rRNA from 1 species
CCUACGGGUGGCUGCAGUGGGGAAUCUUGCACAAUGGGCGAAAGCCUGAUGCAGCGACGCCGCGUGGGGGAUGAAGCAUCUCGGUGUGUAAACCCCUUUCGACUGGGAAGAAUGCCUCGCAAGAGGAGUGACGGUACCAGUAUAAGAAGCCCCGGCUAACUACGUGCCAGCAGCCGCGGUAAGACGUAGGGGGCCAGCGUUGUUCGGAAUUACUGGGUGUAAAGGGUUCGUAGGCGGUGCGGCAAGUUGGGAGUGAAAUCUCUGGGCUUAACCCAGAGGCUGCUUCCAAAACUGCUGUGCUUGAGUGUGAGAGAGGCUCGUGGAAUUGCAGGUGUAGCGGUGAAAUGCGUAGAUAUCUGCAGGAACACCCGUGGCGAAAGCGGCGAGCUGGAUCACUACUGACGCUGAGGAACGAAAGCUAGGGGAGCAAACAGGAUUAGAUACCCUAGUAGUCC